rnacentral:lncRNA from 1 species
AGAAAUGAGAGGUCAAGGGACAUCAACAGCAAAAAGUCAAGCAUCCACCAGUCUGAAAGAUGAAAGGAUAUAUAUGCUAAGAGAUACUUAUCUAGAGGAGAAAGAAGAAUUUCUCAAAUAUGUAUUUAGCUAACCAGCAGCUGGAUGUGAACCUUGAGGUUCAAGAUCGUCAAAGAACUCACGAUGCCAAGAUUUUCUUAGCUUACAUCUUCAAGACUAUGACUGAUUGAUCAAAGGACAACUGGAGCAACAAGCUGUCAG